AUUGAACGCUGGCGGCAGGCCUAACACAUGCAAGUCGAACGAGUGGCGGACGGGUGAGUAAUGUCUGGGAAACUGCCUGAUGGAGGGGGAUAACUACUGGAAACGGUAGCUAAUACCGCAUACCCUCAGAUGUGCCCAGAGGGGAUUAGCUUGUUGGUGGGGUAACGGCUCACCAAGGGGACGAUCCCGAGCUGGUCUGAGAGGAUGACCAGCCACACUGGAAAUGGGACACGGUCCAGACUCCUACGUGAGGCGGCAUUGGGGAAUAUUCCACAAUGGGCGAAAGCCUGCUGCAGCCAUGCCGCGUGUAUGAAGAAGGCCUUCGGGUUGUAAAGUACUUUAAGCGGGGAGGCGUUACCCGAAGAGGAAGCACCGGCUAACUCCGUGCCAGCAGCCGCGGUAAUUC
rnacentral:rRNA from 1 species